rnacentral:rRNA from 1 species
GAUGAACGCUGGCGGCGUGCUUAACACAUGCAAGUCGAACGGUGAAGGCGGAGCUUGCUCUGCUGGAUCAGUGGCGAACGGGUGAGUAACACGUGAGCAAUCUGCCCCUGACUUUGGGAUAAGCGCUGGAAACGGCGUCUAAUACUGGAUACGAGCUGCGAAGGCAUCUUCAGCAGCUGGAAAGAACUUCGGUCAGGGAUGAGCUCGCGGCCUUUCAGCUUGCUGGUGAGGUAACGGCUGACCAAGGCGUCGACGGGUAGCCGGCCUGAGAGGGUGAACGGCCACAAUGGGACUGAGAGACGGCCCAGAGGCCUACGGGAGGCAACAGUGGGGAGUAUUGCACAAUGGGCGAACGCCUGAUGCAGCGACGCCGCGUGUGUGACGACGGUCUUCGGGUUGUGAACCGCUUUUAGCAGGGAGGAAGCGAUAGUGACGGUACCUGCAGAAAAAGCGCCGGCUAACUACGUG